CGCCAAGCUCCAACUAAUGAUUUUUGCAGGCAGUGAGUUUUAUGCUGUCUACCCACUUUGCUGGGUGGGGCUCUGUGAACUUUUACUAGUUCUUGGGUACUGCCCAAUUCGUGCAUGCUUUUUUGCUCAAAAGAACUCCGCUAAAUUUAAUUUAAAGUUUUUAUUCUAACAUGAGACUAAGACUACUCUUUUUCUCAUGAGACUUUGUAUGAGGGAGAACAGUCGCUAAUUAACAUCCAGUUAUUGAAAUCAGGCAGUCUUGAAAUCCAGCUGAUGCUGCUUAGCAGAGAAGCGGUUGCUUGGAGGUAGAGUUGAUUAGGUAGACUGGAAGGGAAAAUAUUUAAGUUAAAUGUGUUAAAAUAUUUGAAGGACUAAAACGAAAUCCUUGAGAUGUUUGGAUUUUAGAAAUCCCCGCGUGCAAAAACGUCCGGAGUGGGCAUGCAUCAUUUUACGUAAUGCUGGACCCUGAAGGAUGGAUGAGAUUUUGACAGAAAGUGAUGGACAGGAAGAGAAAGAAUCAUCACAAGUUAGAAGAAAAUCACAAGUCUGACCUAUACUUAAAGGGAGAAGAUUAUGCAGGAGCAAAAGCACGAGAUGGGAACCAUGGGGCCUUGGGAGAGUCUGCCACGGAAAGAGAAGCACAAAUCCUAUCCCAUUGCUUCAUCCUGCAGAUUCUGAAAGCUCUCUCUUCAAAACACAUCCAGAAUCCAAACAUCGGUCUCCUGCAUGUUUGUCAGAACCUGCUAACUAAGCUAUCUUUCCAAUGCCAAGUCCUUCAAAGGUUUAAUCUGUUAAGCCUCAGUUGACUCACUUGUACAUCGGCAAUGAAGUUACCUAAACUAUAAGUAACUACAGUUUCUCCAUUUCUCUCCAUUUCCCAUGAUGAAGUUUUCCCAGACCAGUAAGACGAUGAUACCAUCUAGGACAAAUACUGUCAGCUUUCUUCACUCUGUGGCUGUGCUGGUUCUGUAGCGAGGGUUGGGUCGUUUCUCCAGAACUGGUAAGAAACUAGAAUUGUUUGCUUCAUGAAGACUGGCACAGAAUACUAGAAUGACUCUAUGCGUGGAAGAUAAAUGUCUUCUCCCCUCACUUUGUUUUAUGGGCAACAAUUAAGCUGAUUUAAAAAUAAAUCCGUGCUGCCUCUGUGUGGACUCCA
rnacentral:lncRNA from 13 species